rnacentral:rRNA from 1 species
GAUGAACGCUGGCGGCGUGCCUAACACAUGCAAGUCGAACGAGUCGGGUUUACUCGGCUAGUGGCGGACGGGUGCGUAACACGUAGGUGACCUGCCCUGGAGUGGGGAAUAAUUCCGCGAAAGCGGGACUAAUACCGCAUAGGCUCGGCGAUUCGCUUCGUCGAGUAAAGCCUGCGGGCGCUUUGGGAUGGGCCUGCGGCGGAUUAGCUAGUUGGUGGGGUAAUGGCCUACCAAGGCGAUGAUCCGUAGGGGGCGUGAGAGCGUGACCCCCCACAUUGGCACUGAGACACGGGCCAAACUCCUACGGGAGGCAGCAGUGAGGAAUAUUGCACAAUGGGCGCAAGCUUGAUGCAGCAACGCCGCGUGAGGGACGAAGGCCUUCGGGUCGUAAACCUCUUUUCUGAGGGACGAGACAGGACGGUACCUCGGGAAUAAGUCUCGGCUAACUACGUGCCAGCCGCCGCCGUAAUAC